AUAGCGCAACCUGGCGGCGUGCUACUACUGCAUGUCGUGCGAGGCUCUUCGGAGUCGAGCGGCGGACGGGUGAGUAACACGUGGCCUGCCCGACAGACCGGGAUAACGCUUGGAAACGAGUGCUAAUACCGGAUACGCUUUUGAAGCGCAUGCUUCGAAAGGGAAAGCUGCUUUUGCAGCACUGUCGGAUGGGCCCGCGGCGCAUUAGCUAGUUGGUGAGGUAACGGCUCACCAAGGCGACGAUGCGUAGCCGACCUGAGAGGGUGACCGGCCACACUGGGACUGAGACACGGCCCAGACUCCUACGGGAGGCAGCAGUAGGGAAUCUUCCGCAAUGGGCGCAAGCCUGACGGAGCAACGCCGCGUGAGUGAUGAAGGCCUUCGGGUUGUAAAACUCUGUCUUCUGUGAAGAACAAGCCUAUGAAUAGAAUGCUUAGGCCCUGACGGUCACAGAGGAGGAAGCCCCGGCUAACUACGUGCCAGCAGCCGCGGUAAUACGUAGGGGGCAAGCGUUGUCCGGAAUCACUGGGCGUAAAGCGCGCGCAGGCGGCUGUCUACGUCCGGGGUGAAAGCCCAGAGCUCAACUCUGGGACUGCCUUGGAUACGGGAUGGCUUGAG
rnacentral:rRNA from 1 species